UCCUCAUGUUAAUAUGAAUAAAAGUAACACUAGUACGUUACAUUUAAUUAGCAUCUAAACUAAAGAUCCUACGCCCUGCAAGCGAUUUCCACCCGGGAAAUGUUGUCUGACAAGCAAACGCAGCCAGCUCUGAUGCGGCGUGGGGCAGCUUUUCCAGAUGAACAAGAAUAAAGGGGAGAGGAUGCAAAUCCAGCCACGGGCACAACAACCAGGGAGCUCCUGUGCGAGCACACUGCAUCGUCUCCAGCACAGGGCUGCGCGCUCCUGGGUACGGCAGAGGAGCAGAGGAGGACGCACUGUGGUACAGAGGAGCUGUUCUAAAACUGAACUCAGAAGCAAUGAGAAAGCUGGGGAUAUUAUUAAUGUAAUAACCUCUAAUGCAUGGCAUUAGAAUUGCAAACCGUCUGGUGAAAUUUCCAAGUGGCCAGGUGAAUGGGAGGACUGCAUAAAGCAUGGGUAACGGUAUGUAAAUUACGAUGUAUAUCAGCUUAAGGAGAACACAGCAUGAGAACAUCUGAGCAUAACAAGAUUGGAAAGGUCCUCUUGGCUGCAGAGAGCAGAGAUCCUCCAGAGAGCACCCACCUCAGCCCGGAGGCCCACCACCACCCCACCGCCGCCUGCAGGCAGCUGUCCUGCCCCAGCAGCUGGCGCUGCCAGCGAUCUGCCUUCGCGUCAGGCAGCCCAGGGACCAUUGCAUUUGUCUGUUCUCAAAGAAUCAGAUCCAAAAUUUUGUGAAAUGAAUAGAACUCCAGAGAGGUCGGCAAGUCUGAAUCGAUUCAUGAUUACGUAUAUGGCGAAAUGCAGAGCAAGCUGCUUAGGACUGGUUGCAGUAGGCCAGUUCCUUUAGCUUCACUAUUUCUCAUUCCUUUAGCUAUGGUGCACGAUCUGUCCCUUAUUUAUCUUUUUCAAAAUGAAAAGAAAACAGGACUGGAGGGGACUUCCUGAGUAACCAAGGAUGAUCUCCCACCAGCGGUGGGAAUGAUAUCAUAGAAACCUUUAUAUUGCCCCUUAGAUCUCCAGGAUAAGGACCGGUCCUUUUUUCUGAGCAACACUGUGCAACUCAAAAAUACACAUAAAUGCAGAAAGAGCCAGAGGUGAUCUAAAAAAUAAAUAAAUAAGGGAAGGGAGAUAAAUAAUACAGAUGGUCCAGGCUACCCACUCUGAACACACUGUGACCUAUGUCACUUUCUUAUAGAUUACUCCAAAUCUCUUAUCUGUCUUUGUGGCUAAUGGCCUGGAAUAAAAUAUUCUCACAUUCAGGCAUAAAGAUAACAAGCAAUCCCACAGAGAAAAUUAGUAGUCAUGUCUACAGCUCCUCCUCUGGACUUCCCUGUGUCAGUUCUGCAGGUUUUCUAGGUUUUCCUAUUGUUACAAGUGAGCCUGCUUGCAGCUGCCUGCGGAGCAGGUGAGCAGCCUGCGGAAAGGCAGGGCUGGGCGUCAGCCUCGGCCAGCCUGCGGACGUCACCCACCCUAAGGAACAACGCGAGGCUGUCGGAGGCGACCUUUGGCACUUACUGAAUAAAUAAAUGAUAAUUAGAUCAGGAGCAUUAUUGCAGACCUUGUAGUCACUAAAAAUAGGGCAUUUGGAACAGGCUGGUUAAAUGCCAUCUCUCCCUAGAAGCCUAAGCAAGGAAAGGAUAAAGACCAUUACUGCUUUCAGUAACAGAAAGAAUGCCUCUUGCUUACGUGGCUGAAGCUGAGUCUUUGUUCCUACGUGUCUUAGCUUCUUCUGCUAAAAAUUUAUAGCAGGGCUUUUUGUGUGGGUUUGAAACCACUCCCAGUGACAGGAGAUGUUCUAGGUAGAACUGCCGCAACUAAGGACCAUCACAGAAUCACUAAGAUUUCUCUGUAUAGUUUACAGAAAUCUUUUUUCAUGGUUAUUUAUUUAUUUAUUAGGUUCCAAUACUACAUUAGUGCCCAAGAAAACCAAAUCCAUAUUGAAUCUAUCUCAGUAGACUUUUUUUUUACUCAACAAAUGGUCUGCGGUAGUUAGAAAAGCAUGUGGAUUUCUACAGAAUUGAGAAAUUGGCUCUGGCAAGCUGCGGUAAAAAAUACAGUUUUCUCUGUGUUGAUUUUUCAAUAUUUAGUGUGUAUUCAGAAUACAUCCUCAAUGCCAUGCUAUGCUCUAUAGACUUGAUAUAUGAUUAUACAGCUGUGACUAAGAAAUGAUGUAUGAAAUAAAAAUCCCUGAACAAUGCA